AUGGCCACACGCUCCUGCGGGAAAAGUCUCAGAAGCUGAACGAGCAGCACCAGCUCAUCCUGUCCAAGCUGCUGAGGGAGGAGGACAAGUACUGUGCGGACUGCGAGGCCAAAGGUCCCCGAUUGGCUUCCUGGAAUAUCGUUGUGUUUAUUUGCAUCAGAUGUGCUGGAAUUCAUAGAAAUCUUGGGGUUCACAUAUCCAGGUCAAAUCAGUCUACCUAGACCAAUGGACACCAGAACAGAUACCGUGCAUGCAAGAUACGGGAAAUACUAAGGCAAGACUACUCCAUGAAGCGAAUCUUCCAGACAACUUUCCAAGACCACAGACAGAUCAAGCAGUGGAAUUUUUCAUCAGAUAUAAAUAUGAAAAGAAGAAAUACUAUGAUAAAAAUGUUAUAGCUAUUACAAAUAAAGAAAAGGGGGGGGAGAGAGAAAAAGAGAGAAAAGGAGCCAGAAAAGCCUGCAAAACCACUUAUAACUGAAAAGCUACAGAAGAAGGAAGAUCGGCAACUGGAGCCUAAAAAAAGUACCAGCCCUAAAAAAGCUGCAGAGCCCAGGUUGAUCUUUUAGGGCUUGAUGGCCCUUCUGAGGCAGCAGUGACCAAUGGAAACACAACAGUGCCAGCCCUGAAUGAUGAUCUGGACAAAUUUGGACGGAUGAUUUCUAAUCCCUUACCUGCAACUGUCAUGCCUCCAGCUCAGGGGACAUCCUCUGUAAUAGCAGCUGCUAUGCUUUCUACAGUAACAUCUGGGGAUCUAGAUCUAUUCACAAGCAAACUACAAAAUCGGACGAAGGGGCAAAGAAACAGCUCUCCAAAGACUCCAUCUUACCUCUGUAUGGUACAGGAACCAUUCAACAGCAAAGUACUCUUGGUGUUUUAAUGGGACCCACAAAUACACCAUUUACCUCACAAGUACCGACUGCAUUUCAAGGUUUCCCAUCAAGGGGUGUGCCUGUGCCUGCAGCUCCUGGCCUUAUAGGAAAUGUGAUGGGACAGAGUACAAGCAUGAUGGUAGGCAUGCCCAUGCCCAAUGGGUUUAUGGGAAAUGCACAGACUGGUGUGAUGCCACUUCCUCAGAAUGUUGUUGGUCCACAAGGAGGAAUGGUGGGACAAAUGGGCAUACCCCAGAGUAAGUUUGGCCUGCCACAAGCACAACAGUCCCAUUGGAGCCUUUCACAGAUGAAUCAGCAAAUGGCCAGCAUGAGUGUCAGUAGUGCAAACCCCGCGGCAGGCUUUGGCUAGCCCCCCACCACCACAGCAGGAUGGUCUGGAAGCUCAUCAGGUCAGACUCUGAGCACACAACUGUGGAAGUGAAAACUGAGAUACAAGUUUCAUCCAGAAUGACUACCUGACAUUCCUUGCUAAAACGCAUCUAGUUCCCCUGUUUAUUCAUGUACAUAUAUAUUUUUUCUUUUUACCCAUUUGUUCAUAUUACAAAUUACCUGAUUGACCGUGUUGGUCUGUACUGAUUAAAUUUGAUGUGGUAAAAGCAAGUUGGUAAACCAUUUUAUGUCAAAGGCAGCUUUGCUCAUAUUUCCCACGAUUUCAUAAAUGACCAUUAUUUGAGAAGCUGCUCAGUCAACUUGCAUAAUUAGUUUUACUCUCAAUAAAAUUAAAGCUCUAAUGUUUGCAUAUAAGGGAAGUAGUUAUCAUGUUAGUAAUACCUCUAACGGUAUAAACCCCACCCCCAAAUUAGCCAGUAAUCCUGUAGGAAGGUACUGUAUGAUCAAAUGUUUAAUCAUUUAAAUAGAAUGUAAAUGUAUCACUGAGCACUGUUUUCUAGUGUAUCAAAAUUCUUUUAUUUCAUCAUUCACUUCACUGUGCUGUUGUUAUGAUGUGCUUAACAGGGAACGUGGUUAGUGAAAGCAAGAUAAACCUGGAUAUUACUACGAAACUUAGUUUAAUGAAUGUUUGAAUAAUUCAAAUUUUAUCUGCCUCUCAAAAUUUGGAUCUUCUCUUAUGUAAAUAGUGCUAACAUGAAGACCUUUUUCUGCACUAUAUGUGCACAGGGUAACUAAAACAAAGCCACUUUGAAUCCUUGAAGGUAUAUCCAGGUUUACGACAGUAAUUGCGUUUACAUUUUAUGGUGCCUAGUAUUGACAAAAUAUUAUUUCUCUAUAUUAAACAGAUGAAUCCAUAG